AUACAUCUUGAAUAAACACUAAUACUAAACCUCUUAAAAUUGAAAAUAUAAAAUUGAUUUUUCAAUAGUUGCCGGACUUUUAUUUUAAAUCUUUUCGAAUUCCCUUGACGCAGUUUGCUGGAUUUAUUUCCCUAUUAGCUGCCGGGCCAGAAUUGAAUUUAUUUCGGCUAAUAAAAUUGAUUGUGUUUUAAAACCCCCAGCUCCGCCCUAAAGAAAUGUUACACUUUAAAAGUAAGGCUUAGUGAGAAGAUCCGAGCUGUUUUGGUUUUCGGGUUUGAGUUGGCUGCUUAUGCGUUGACAUUUUUAUUGGUAUUUUAUGUGAAUCAAGUGAAUAUGGCGAAGACAAAGCUAAGCUCCUUCCGAAUCGAUAAAAAUGCAAAUUAAACAGCACCAGCGUGUGAGUGUGUGUGUGUGGGUAAGUGCCAUAUAAACUUGCAUAUGUGCCACGGAUAUGGAUAUAUACAAAGAGAUACGGCGGGAAAAAGGGAGGCGAAUGGCAGCUCGUUAAAAGGAAAGCCGGGCGAAAUUCAAGUGCCGGAAAAUGGCUUUUGUUUAGAAGGAAAACUGUGAGUGUGGUGCUCGCUAUCUCUCUCGCUUGCAUGCAUAUAAAUAUGAAAAAUAUUCAGAAAAUGUCAAACGGAAACAAGUUUCCAAGUCAGACUGCAUGAUGGAGCACACACGUCCUGGCGGUCACAGGACUCCUAGCAGGCUUCCACUCCUUCGACCACUCGGGCGACAAAUGAAAAUGGCAGAAAUGAUCGGAAAUGACCAAUUUGAAGUAAAAAUGUAGCCAACUGUGAUCCAAGGACAGGCUGGUUUGGCCCAUCAGCCACUGUGUUUUCGUGUAAGUGUGUGUAAGCGGAAGUAGAGCGCUUGACAGCCACCAAUACCAACAAGUGGAAGACCAGUGCACUGCAGUGCAGGAAGCUCACAAUUUGUACGGAAAACUGCAGUUACCAGGCUGCUUCCAAAUCUGUAUGUCAAAUGCAGCAGCUCAGAGGACUGAUCAGAUAUGACAAGAUGACAAAUUAGAAAAUUUGUCAAAGAAGUUAUCGCGAUCUUUGGAUUGCCGGGUUGGAUGGGACCGGGACUCCACAUCCGAUUUAAGAGUUCUUUGACCCUUGGGCUCGAGGCGGCACAUACAUAGCUCACACUCAUAACUCACAGAUGUCGUAUUAUGCAUGAAUUUAAAAACAAUAUCUUGAAAGCGCUCACGCAUGUGAGGACUCCGGAUCUGCACUCAUUCCACUCCUUGGUGAAGUAAUAAAUCAAGACGAAAGGCGGAAAGUGGAAAACCCUUUUCAACGAUUUCUAUGCAAAGUGCUGGCACAGGCAGAGUAAUUCAUCAAAAAUAAUAUAACAAGACGCCAAAUGAGAAAAAACGGAAAACAGAAAACAGAACGGCUAAGAAAUAUAGAGAAUGUCUUGAAUUGUACAUGGCAAAAUUGAGCUCCUAUACUGCAAAAUGAUGGUGCGUCCUGCAAUCAGUUCGUAUGUGUGUGUAAAUUCGUGUAAAAUAUGGGAAAAUCUUGCUAGAAGGCAUCUUAAAAUAAACAAAUUUUUUGAUUAGAUUUGAUAGAUACUAAA